GUGGGGAAUUUUGGACAAUGGGCGCAAGCCUGAUCCAGCAAUGCCGCGUGCAGGAAGAAGGCCUUCGGGUUGUAAACUGCUUUUGUACGGAACGAAACGGUCUGGGUUAAUACCCUGGGCUAAUGACGGUACCGUAAGAAUAAGCACCGGCUAACUACGUGCCAGCAGCCGCGGUAAUACGUAGGGUGCAAGCGUUAAUCGGAAUUACUGGGCGUAAAGCGUGCGCAGGCGGUUAUGUAAGACAGAGGUGAAAUCCCCGGGCUCAACCUGGGAACUGCCUUUGUGACUGCAUAGCUAGAGUGCGGCAGAGGGGGAUGGAAUUCCGCGUGUAGCAGUGAAAUGCGUAGAUAUGCGGAGGAACACCGAUGGCGAAGGCAAUCCCCUGGGCCUGCACUGACGCUCAUGCACGAAAGCGUGGGGAGCAAACAGGAUUAGAAACCCCAGUAGUCC
rnacentral:rRNA from 1 species